rnacentral:rRNA from 1 species
AGCGAACGCUGGCGGCAGGCCUAACACAUGCAAGUCGAACGGACCCUUCGGGGUUAGUGGCGGACGGGUGAGUAACACGUGGGAACGUGCCCUUUGGUUCGGAACAACUCAGGGAAACUUGAGCUAAUACCGAAUGUGCCCUUCGGGGGAAAGAUUUAUCGCCAUUGGAGCGGCCCGCGUCUGAUUGGCUAGUUGGUGGGGUAAUGGCCUACCAAGGCGACGAUCAGUAGCUGGUCUGAGAGGAUGAUCAGCCACAUUGGGACUGAGACACGGCCCAAACUCCUACGGGAGGCAGCAGUGGGGAAUCUUGCGCAAUGGGCGAAAGCCUGACGCAGCCAUGCCGCGUGAAUGAUGAAGGUCUUAGGAUUGUAAAAUUCUUUCACCGGGGACGAUAAUGACGGUACCCGGAGAAGAAGCCCCGGCUAACUUCGUGCCAGCCGCCGCCGUAACAC